GUAAUUUCAGAACAUCAUCUUCGUCAACUGAAACCAACUUCCCCAGCUCAGGUCAUCAUCAUUCCAAACUUUUCUACUAAUUUUUCUGUCUAACCCCCACAAUUGAUCUCAGAAUCUUUUUAUUAAUGCUCCCAUUCAAUGCCAGUUCAUUUACUUCUCAAAAACUUCCAAAAAUACUCAACCGCUAGAAAAUUUUCCCCCACCAUUCCUCCUGGAUCAGCAACAUAGCUUUUACCUGCAGGAGCCUGAUUAUCAUCUCAUGAAGAACCCCCGAACCAUGCAACAAGUUCACCAAUCUCCCAAUCUCUCCAACCCUUUUGAAAAUCUUACUGAAGAAAUCAUAUUUAACGUUCUUGAUUUCCUCGAUGAGGACCCACAAGCCAAGAAAUCGCUCUCUCUUGUUAACAAAUCAUUCUACUCUAUUGAAUCCAUUCACAGAAGAUCUCUAAGACCUCUACGAACUAAUCUCAUUCCAAGUACUCUCCGAAGAUAUCCUCAUCUAUCUCACCUUGACUUCACAUGUUGUCCUCGUGUCGAGGAUGAUACUCUUUUUGCUAUAGCUGAUGUAUAUAAGACUAGUUUGAGGGCCAUUGACCUUUCGAGGUCUAGGUUCUUUAGUAACGUUGGGUUGUCGAGUUUGGCUGGGAAAUGUACAGGUUUGGUGGAGAUGGAUUUGUCCAAUGCAACAGAGCUAACAGACUUGGCUGCUGCAGCUAUUGCCGAAGCUAAGAACUUGGAGAAGCUAUCAUUGGCUAGGUGCAAGUUGAUUUCAGAUAUCGGGAUUGGCUGUAUUGCUGUUGGUUGCAAAAAAUUGAAGUCGGUUUGCUUGAAAUGGUGCUUAAGAGUUAGUGAUUUCGGUGUUGGCUUGAUUGCUAUGAAGUGCAGAGAUAUUCGCUCUCUGGAUCUCUCUUACUUGCCUAUAACAGAAAAGUGCCUUCCACCCAUCCUGCAGCUUCAACAACUCAAGGAAUUGGUUCUUGUGGGAUGUUCUGGUAUUGACGAUGAGGGUCUUGUCACCCUGAAUCAAGGAUACAAACCACUAGAGAUGCUUAAUAUAUCAAUCAUUCAAAAUGUCAGCCACAUUGGUCUAUAUUCUCUAACAAAUGGCAUGAAACACCUAAGCCAUCUCAGUCUAGCAUAUGGUUUUGAUGUUACAGUAGAUCUAGCAAAAUGCCUGCACAAUUUUCCGGGCCUGCAGUGCAUUAAAUUAGAUGGCUGCCAAGUCUCAUGUGCUGGGAUGAAAGCUAUUGCAGAUUGUUGUGUAUCCUUAAAGGAGAUAAGCUUAUGCAAGUGCAUAGGAGUGACAGAUGAGGGUCUCUCCUCCAUUAUGGAGAAGCACAAUGGAUUGAAAAACUUGGACAUAACUUGUUGUAGAAAAAUAACUCAUGCCUCUUUAGACAUUAUAACAAGUUCAUGUAACUCCCUUAUUUCCCUCAAAAUGGAAUCUUGUAGCUUGAUUCCUGAAGAUGCUUUUGAAUUGAUUGGGCAACGUUGCUCUUUGCUGGAGGAGCUGGAUAUUACUGAUAAUGAAGUCGAUGAUGAAGGGUUGAAAGCAAUCUCAAGAUGUUCCAAACUUUUGAGCUUAAAAAUGGGAAUAUGCACGAAAAUCACUGAUAGCGGACUUUUUCAUGUUGGAAUUUACUGUCCAAAACUGACACAACUUGAUUUGUACAGGUGCACAGCAGUUACCGAUGUAGGCAUUAUGGCAGUUGCAAAUGGUUGCCUUGGUUUGGAGAUGAUUAACAUGGCUUACUGUGAGAAAGUUACUGACAGUUCAUUGCGAUGUUUAUCAAAAUGUUUAAGAUUGACAGCACUUGAAAUUCGAGGAUGUACUCGUCUAUCUUCAGGAGGAUUAUCAGCCAUUGCUGAAGGAUGUAGGAAACUGACCCUUCUUGACAUUAAGAAAUGCUGUAACAUUGAUGAUGCUGGAAUGCUUGCUCUUGCACAAUGUUCCCAAAGUCUCCAGCAGAUUAAUAUAUCAUAUUGUUCAGUUACGGAUAUUGGGCUAAUGGCACUGGCCAGCAUUAACCACUUGCACAGCAUGACUAUCUUGCAUGUAACUGGACUGACUGCCAGUGGGCUUGGUGCCGCUCUGUUAGCUUGUCAGGGACUGAGAAAAGUGAAGCUUCACUCAACCUUUAAAGCAUCAAUGCCUCAGGCUCUCCUGAAUCACGUAGAAGCUCGUGGCUGCAUCUUUCACUGGAGAAAUAAAGCAUUUCAGGUUUUCGUUUUAUUUACAUUUCAGUAGUGGCAUGCAAUUAUUACUGUUUCAGUUUUGAAAGUGAUUUCUACUGGUAUUGGCAAUUCAUUUUCUUCAUUCAGCCAAAACCCUGUGGGUUUCAUUAGCGCUCUCUUAUCUUGUAUCUUAGUUUUCAAACAGCUUCGGAACCCGGGGCCAACUUUUUACUUUUAUACAAUGAAAACUGGUAAAAAUUAAGCUUUUCCCGGAUUCUUGUAUUACUCGAAAACUGAAGAUGCUUCAACUUUCUUUUCCACUUCUUCCAAUAGCUGCAACUGUACCUGUUUGUAGAAGCUGCAAUUUUAGUAUUGCAAUAUGUUGAACUGAUAACUAACCGUUAGUGAUGUAGACUUGGAACUUGUAGAUGUUUCUGGAAGAAAGAUGAGUAUUCUUGUGCUUCUGAAAAUGGCAACUAUAAAAGUUACGAAGCAUACAAAUAUGUCUAUCCUUCUUCAGUGUGCUGGUCACUUGUGAAGGAUUGAUCUGCAGGCUGGCAGAUUCUAGGUGGAUAUAGAUCCGAAGGGAUGGCAGCUAUGAUUAUAAGUGAAGAAUUCAACAUUUUGCAUCGUGAAAGUUGUUGCCUUGUUGCCGCUGAUAAGAUUGCAGCUGAAUCAAGGAGUCAAAACAAGAACAUUUUAUUCUGGUGAUGUGUUCAUUUACCUGAAUGUGCCGUGCCAGUGAUUGAUUGGUCAUAGAGCUUGUUUGCUGUCCAGGUUCCAAAAUGGGGAAAACAUAAGAGAAUGUUCUGCAUCAGACUUGCAUCAUUUGAGUUGCUGCGAUGGGUCCAGUUCCAGAAAGAUGAUUUCAUACUACUAUCUAUAUUCUUGUUGCUGCUGAUUCAGAUUUGAGUCUUGAGCAAUUUAACGCGGUGUCGAGACUGAGUAACUUCUUGAUUUGAAAAUAGAACGUCCCUAUAGGAUUUGCCUAUAAUUCUAAUCUGACCUUAUUCAAUCUGCUCAAACAUUUGACCA